GUUGUGAUUGGAAUAUGAAUCAGAAAGAAGAUUAUUCACGUCUUAAAGAUGUUCAAGGAAUUAUUUCGAAAGUGAAUUAACAUCGAUCAAGUAGAUCGAGGCACUGAACAUGUAUUUUAUUUCAACCAAGUACCAUAACAAAUUAUGCUUCAAUAUCAAAAAGAUCGAUUUGGAAUCGAAUAUCGUCAACACCGACGUACAAGAAAUUACUAUUCUUAGAGGGAACCUAAAGCUAAACAAAGUAAUUCGCAGAAAUUUUAUUUUCAAGUCACGUACCUGGCCGUAUAUUCCCGAGGGAAAAUUUAUGAAAAAAAUCACAUGACAAAAUACAAUGAAUAUGAAAUGCAUGACGACUAGAGACUAGAACAACUCUUUGAAGAAGAACUCGAUUUUAAAAGAAUUAUUAAAAAGUUACCAAAUCG